CCGAGUUUACAACUCCCAAACCCCUGUGAACAUACCACUUGUUGCCUCGGCGGAUCAGCCCGCUCCCGGUAAAACGGGACGGCCCGCCAGAGGAUCCCUAAACUCUGUUUCUAUAUGUAACUUCUGAGUAAAACCAUAAAUAAAUCA
rnacentral:misc_RNA from 1 species